AACGCACAUUGCACCCGGUGGUAUUCUGCCGGGUAUGCCUGUUCGAGCGUCAUUUCUACCCUCAGGUCUCCCUUUCUUUCCGGAGAGAGAGCUCCUGGUGUUGGGAUUUACGGGCGGUCUAACUGCCCGUAGCCCCUAAAUGUAUCGGCGUGCGUGCUGUACGUUUUCCUCUGCGUAGUGGAUUUUUUCUUUAUCUCGCAUCGGAACGCAGCGCUUGCUCAGCCGCUAAAAACCAAACUGCUUAGAAAAGUUUGACCUCGAAUCAGGUAGGGUUACCCGCUGAACUUAA
rnacentral:misc_RNA from 1 species